AGAGGCCUGAGGAGAAGCGGCAGGAGACCCCGAGCCCACCACCGUCGCCGGGAAACGGAAGACCGCGGAAGAGGAGCAUCUGCCUCCUGGUGCCUUGGGAUAACGAACCACUGGUGCUGCCCCCUGCACCUGACCCGGGCUACCCCAUCACAGAAGAGAUCAUCGAGGAGGAGAGGGAGGCAGCGUGGCAGCGGCUACGCCGGCUCUUGGGGCAUAAGGCUGAUGAGGUCCCCAGCACCAGUGAGGAAGAUGUGUCCCUGGGCACAGCCAUCGCCCAGGGCUCCUCUGGCAC